rnacentral:lncRNA from 1 species
CUCUAGUCUCUAUUAUAUACGUGUAAUUUUUUUCCGACUGUCUACAGUCAAUAUGGCCAAGAGAAAUGGUUAUUCUUUUGGUUAGUGUUUAUAUGUACUUAAUUAUGGCGUAAUAAAUGCUGAUUUAAGUAACAAACUUACCAGCCGGUUGUUGCAGUUCACUUGGCUUCUAGAGACGUAUCCCCAAGUUUCACUGGGCCGUAAGGCCUAUGAUACCUACUUUGCAGCUUAAACAAAUACAUUAAUAUGGGUUAGUAUUAUAUUAAAUGUUUCUCUAACGUCUAACCAGUAAUUUAUUAACGUUUUAAAACUUUUAGGGCAAGUAUACCGCCAAAUGAGCCAUAACAACCGAGCCGAAACUAUAAACCGGUGGCGAGUAACAAGCGUAAACCGCACAUCAGUAUUUGCGUUAUAAUUAACCAGUAAGUGAGUGCAAUGACGAGAUUGGGUGAAAUUAUUGUAUUUAUUUUUUUAAUUUCACAUUUUCCCUCUUGCUUCGAAGCCCAGCCCACUUUUGGCGGAGCCGGGUGGUCGUAACUCAAUAGUUACGCAUUUCAUCUAACGUUCAUCACCAAAAUAUAACUGUUUUGUGGAAUUACGAUACAAUAUUUUUCACUGGCUAGUUCUUUGCUUCCUCUUUAACUAGGAUUUCUGGGAGUUGAAACCGAAUUUAUUACGGGUUUUAGCCGGGCGAAGCGAGGCAUGCUAGGCGAGGCAGGCAAGAAGCCAGACAGGAAGCGAAGCGAGGCGAGUUGAGGUAGGGAGCCGGGCGAGGCAAGGGAGCCGGCGGAGGGCGAGGUUGAGGGGUUUCAGAAUAUUUGUACAGUGUAUAUUAAAUUUUUAAAAGUGGACAACCAUGGAUUUUAGCAUCGGAAAAACACAUUGGUCAACAACCAAAAAGCACCAAAACUAAACUAACGUAACGUAGCCUAACAACGUAACAUAGCCUAACCUGGAGGUUCGUUGGUUGUCUGCUUGUAAAAAAAAAAUACCGGGUUCCUAAAAUAAAUGUUAAGAUGUAUAUAAAGACACCGUUAAAAUGUAUUGGUAAAUAAGGCCGUAACCAUCUAAUUAACCUCUGGAAAAUGUUAAAAUGUUUGGCUCGCCUGAAGAUUCAUCCCCCAGCUUAUUUCAACUGAAGAUCAAUUUAACCUAAGCCAAUCGACGUAUUACAAUGUGUUGGCGAAUCUUUCUUUUUCAGAUCAUGGAAUGACUGCAGAUUCAACUACAGUACAAAACCCUCUGUUAUUGGUGUGGUGCAGUAUGUGGUCAGUGUGGUGCAGUAUGAGGACACAAGUGAAGUGUGGAGCAGUAUGUGGGGACAACAGACCACGAGUGAAGCUUCUCACAAUACACAACGGUGUUCCUUCAGGUAACAGCUGAUGUACGUGAAGGCCAAUGGAGAAGUGACAGAACCUCGAGCAAGAUUUAACUACCAGCAUGUUACUUCAGCCUCAUCAGUUAAGUUACUUGUACAGUAUAUCUUAGCUAGUAUCUUUAUCCAAUAAACCACUCGACACUGCUCCUACACUGGGCAGUGGGGGGUGCCUUGCUGACUGUUUGAGGCCUAAUAGGUCUGUGUGUAGACCUAGUGAUCAGUGUGUGAGGCCUGGCGGACACUCUUGGAGGACUGUGUUGGAGGGCUAUGGAGGACGAUCUGUAGACAGACUGAUAUUAGAGUAAAAUUAAUAUUAGUUGUAGUGACAGUAGAAAUAUACAGAACUGUAUGCCUAUUGAUUAUUAGUGAAAAUUAGUAGCAGUAGUAAACAUAGUGACAGCUGAUGUAUGUGAAGCCCAAUGGAGAAGUGACAGAACCUUGAGCAACAUUUAACACCCAGCAUGUUACUUCAGCCUCAUCAGUUAAGUUACUUAUAUAUAUCUUGGCUAUUAUGGUCAUCCCAUAAACUACUCAACACCGUGCUUCUACACUCGGCAGUGGAGGGUGUGUGGGGGGCCUGGCUGACUGUGUGAUGGAGGGUUCUGGAGGACUGUGUGAUGGAGGGUUCUGGAGGACUGUGUGUGAAGGAGGGCUCUGGAGGACUGUGAUGGAGGGCUCUGGAGGACUGUGUGUGAAGGAGGGCUCGUGAGUACUGAGUGGACAGAUUGGUCUUCGAGUAAAAUUAAUUUUAGUUGUAGUGACAGUAUAAAUAUACAGGACUACAUGCCUAUUGGUUAUUAGAGAAAAUUAGUAGUAGUAGUGGUAGUAGUAGUAAAUACAGCAAGUAAAGCAAGUUGUUGUGGGUGGGUUUCGACUAACUUUACUAACCUAACUUAACCAGCUUAAGUUAAUUAAACGUAAUAACGUAGACUGAACCAAAUCCGUAAUAAGGUCACCGCGACCCGUAGCUGGGGACGUCAAAGGCUCGGUCGGAUUGGUACACCGUCAAUGACUCGGCUCAUCUUGGAGGGAGGGGGGGGGAGUGGCGAGCUACCUCCGGUGUCCUGGCUGAACUGCGAGAGGGGCAACCACUGGUGUCCUGCCUCCCUGCGAGAUGGUCGUUGAUCUACCCGACCCGUCUUGGGACAACAACCACGGAGUCUAGCAUGUGUAGGAGUCGAUGGGGUCACUGAGCCCGAAGGCGAGAUGAAGGUAACGGGCGCCUGGUGCGUCUUGGGCAGAUCCUCAACUGGCUGCCUCUGGCCGUGCACGUGUGGCGUUUGCGUGGUUGAGACCCUUUCCCCCCACUGGGAAAAGGGCCUUCCCCCGCGCAUGACCACGUGAGUGCACAUGUCGCUGCGUUUCUCUGGGUGCACACGUCGCCACCUCAGCUUGUUUGCAGCUGGGUGGGUGGAGCGGCCCAAAAAGCUCCCAUCUCGCCUCCCUAUUUUCCCUUCCUUCAUAUCUUUGAGUUAUAUAUAAAAAUAAGUGUUUUUAUGUCUACUUAAAUAAAUUAUAUACAAUAUGCCUAUAUGCCUAUCGAUUGAUUUUUAUCCUAAGAGUUAUCUGAUAAAAAUGUGAAUUUAUUAGGAAGGUACUGGUAUGGAGGGUAGGACAUGGAACACUAUGAAUUAGUGCUUUAUUUGUAGUAAUAAUUAUAUAAACAAAAUGACAACUCAUAAUUUAUGGUUAAGUGAAAAAAAAUUGUAGCUGUCGUAUUUAAUAUUUGGUUAGGUAGGUUAAGUUAAAGUUAGGGUAGGUGAGGUUAGGUGAGGCUAGGCUAGGUUAUUUCCAUGUUUUGUGCCAGUUAUUCACUGGCAAUGGGGGGGCAAUUGUACAUGAACCAAGCUGUGCAGCUUUUUACAACCAUGACAUUGCAGGUAUGACUGUAGCCUUGUGACUAGCCUACAGUAUUUUAGGCCUACUUCAAAAUGUUUUUUCUGUGUUUUCGAUCAACUGAUGUAAGUGCACAACAGCAUCGUAAAGUAUAACCAUGUUUUUGUACUCCAUUUUUAUGGCAAAUUUACAUUUUUUAAACUAUAUACACUCUUUGAAUAUUACUGUAUUGUAAAAUCCUACAAAACCGUCAUAUAUUUCUUUUGUGAUGCAUAUAUGUACAGUAAAUGAUAUUAGUCUGUUCUGCAUCCCCUUUGGCCAUAGGCAUUGGUGAUGAAAGCAUUAUAAAAGCCAAUGCUGCUGCUAUUGUUAUACAGCAUUAAUUUCUUCUGUUUCUUUCAGAACUAUAAAAACAGAGAUAUAGAAGACCGAAAGCUUAAAAAGACAGGUGGUGGUCCACGAGAAAAAAAUAUUAAAAGCUUCAGAAGAAACUGCCUUAACAGCAUCACUGAUGAGGGCCGAGUUAGCAGUGGCUGGUGAUUUUUACGAGACCUUCCGCAGUCACCCAGUAGAUGAAGAAAUAAUUCCUUAUAGAAUGUGCAGAUAGGUGAGAAUAUUUAUUGAUUUAUACAGUUGUAUGCAUUCUCAUUGAUACCAUUGCUCAAUCGCCUUUGGCUGUGUAAAAAUCAAACGGCAGCAGUGACCUACCUUAUACUGACUUUUUGCAGUUUUGCCUGUUCCAACCCCAGGGCCAUCAACUGUGCUCACCAGUCAUUGUUCCUGCCUCGACAGUGAAUGCUCCUACCUCACCAGUGAAUGCUCCUGCCUCACCAGUCAUUGUUGCUUCACCAGUCAUUGUUCCUGCCUCACCAGUCCUUGCUCCUGCCUCACCAACACUGGAGCAGGUUCAGAUAUGACUGUAGCCUACAGUAUUUAAGGCCUACUUCAAAAAAUGUUUUGUUUGUUUGUUUUCGAUCUACUGAUGUAAGUGCACAACAGCAUCGUAAAGUAUAACCAUGUUUUUGUACUCCAUUUUUAUGGCAAAUUUACAUUUUUUAAACUAUAUACACUCUUUGAAUAUUACUGUAUUGUAAAAUCCUACAAAACCGUCAUAUAUUUCUUUUGUGAUGCAUAUAUGUACAGUAAAUGAUAUUAGUCUGUUCUGCAUCCCCUUUGGCCAUAGGCAUUGGUGAUGAAAGCAUUAUAAAAGCCAAUGCUGCUGCUAUUGUUAUACAGCAUUAAUUUCUUCUGUUUCUUUCAGAACUAUAAAAACAGAGAUAUAGAAGACCGAAAGCUUAAAAAGACAGGUGGUGGUCCACGAGAAAAAAAUAUUAAAAGCUUCAGAAGAAACUGCCUUAACAGCAUCACUGAUGAGGGCCGAGUUAGCAGUGGCUGGUGAUUUUUACGAGACCUUCCGCAGUCACCCAGUAGAUGAAGAAAUAAUUCCUUAUAGAAUGUGCAGAUAGGGCCAUCAACUGUGCUCACCAGUCAUUGUUCCUGCCUCGACAGUGAAUGCUCCUACCUCACCAGUGAAUGCUCCUGCCUCACCAGUCAUUGUUGCUUCACCAGUCAUUGUUCCUGCCUCACCAGUCCUUGCUCCUGCCUCACCAACACUGGAGCAGGUUCAGAUAUGACUGUAGCCUACAGUAUUUAAGGCCUACUUCAAAAAAUGUUUUGUUUGUUUGUUUUCGAUCUACUGAUGUAAGUGCACAACAGCAUCGUAAAGUAUAACCAUGUUUCUGUACUCAAUUUUUAAUGGCAAAUUUACAUUUUUUAAAACUGUCUACAGGCCCUUUAAAUAUUGCUGUAUUGUAAAAUCCUACAAAACCGUCAUAUAUUUCUUUUGUGAUGCAUAUAUGUACAGUAAAUGAUAUUAGUCUGUUCUGCAUCCCCUUUGGCCAUAGGCAUUGGUGAUGAAAGCAUUAUAAAAGCCAAUGCUGCUGCUAUUGUUAUACAGCAUUAAUUUCUUCUGUUUCUUUCAGAACUAUAAAAACAGAGAUAUAGAAGACCGAAAGCUUAAAAAGACAGGUGGUGGUCCACGAGAAAAAAAUAUUAAAAGCUUCAGAAGAAAUUGCCUUAACAGCAUCACUGAUGAGGGCCGAGUUAGCAGUGGCUGGUGAUUUUUACGAGACCUUCCGCAGUCACCCAGUAGAUGAAGAAAUAAUUCCCUAUAGAAUGUGCAGAUAG